rnacentral:rRNA from 1 species
GGGCCCGCACAAGCGGUGGAGCAUGUGGUUUAAUUCGAUGAUACGCGAGGAACCUUACCAGGGCUUAAAUGUAAGUUGCAUAAGUUAGAGAUAGCUUUUUCUUCGGACUACUUACAAGGUGCUGCAUGGUUGUCGUCAGCUCGUGCCGUGAGGUGUCAGGUUAAGUCCUAUAACGAGCGCAACCCCUGUUGUUAGUUGCCAGCGAGUCAAGUCGGGAACUCUAACAAGACUGCCGGUGCAAACCGCGAGGAAGGUGGGGAUGACGUCAAAUCAUCACGGCCCUUACGUCCUGGGCUACACACGUGCUACAAUGGCCGGUACAGAGAGCAGCCACUACGCGAGUAGGAGCGAAUCUACAAAACCGGUCUCAGUUCGGAUCGGAGUCUGCAACUCGACUCCGUGAAGCUGGAAUC